AUUGAACGCUGGCGGCAUGCCUUACACAUGCAAGUCGAACGGCAGCACGGGUGCUUGCACCUGGUGGCGAGUGGCGAACGGGUGAGUAAUACAUCGGAACGUACCUUAUCGUGGGGGAUAACGCAGCGAAAGUUGCGCUAAUACCGCAUACGCCCUGAGGGGGAAAGCGGGGGACCGUAAGGCCUCGCGCGAUUAGAGCGGCCGAUGUCUGAUUAGCUUGUUGGUGAGGUAAAAGCUCACCAAGGCGAUGAUCAGUAGCUGGUCUGAGAGGACGAUCAGCCACACGGGGACUAAGACACGGCCCAGACUCCUACGGGAGGCAGCAGUGGGGAAUUUUGGACAAUGGGGGCAACCCUGAUCCAGCAAUGCCGCGUGAGUGAAGAAGGCCUUCGGGUUGUAAAGCUCUUUUGUCAGGGAAGAAACAGCAGCUCUAACACAGUCUGCGAAUGACGGUACCUGAAGAAUAAGCACCGGCUAACUACGUGCCAGCCGCCGCGGUAA
rnacentral:rRNA from 1 species